GCCUACGGGACGCAGCAGUGAGGAAUAUUGGUCAAUGGGCUUACGCCUGAACCAGCCAAGUCGCGUGAGGGAAGACUGCCCUAUGGGUUGUAAACCUCUUUUGUCAGGGAGCAAUUGGCGCUACGUGUAGCGUUAUCGAGAGUACCUGAAGAAAAAGCAUCGGCUAACUCCGUGCCAGCAGCCGCGGUAAUACGGAGGAUGCGAGCGUUAUCCGGAUUUAUUGGGUUUAAAGGGUGCGUAGGCGGAUUGAUAAGUUAGAGGUGAAAUGUCCGAGCUUAACUCGGGAACUGCCUCUAAUACUGUUG
rnacentral:rRNA from 1 species